rnacentral:rRNA from 1 species
GAUGAACGCUAGCGGCAGGCUUAACACAUGCAAGUCGAGGGGUAAGAGAAGCUUGCUUUUUUGAGACCGGCGCACGGGUGCGUAACGCGUAUGCAAUCUACCUUUCACAAAGGGAUAGCCCAGAGAAAUUUGGAUUAAUACCUUAUAGUAUAUCGAGUUGGCAUCAACAUGAUAUUAAAGAUUUAUCGGUGAAAGAUGAGCAUGCGUCCCAUUAGCUAGUUGGUAUGGUAACGGCAUACCAAGGCUACGAUGGGUAGGGGUCCUGAGAGGGAGAUCCCCCACACUGGUACUGAGACACGGACCAGACUCCUACGGGAGGCAGCAGUGAGGAAUAUUGGACAAUGGGCGCAAGCCU